rnacentral:tRNA from 1 species
GGUGAGAUGGCCGAGUUGGUCUAAGGCGCCAGGUUAAGGUGACAAACCCUUAACAAACGGUUAUUCACAACCUCCUGGUCUAGUAAUAGGCGUGGGUUCGAAUCCCACUCUCAUCA